rnacentral:misc_RNA from 1 species
CAGGGUCUGAGCAUGCACUGCAUCAGGCCUAUCUACUGUUACCUCCGGCUGUCUGCCCUGCUGGCUUCAUCGGACAAAACAAGUCGCAGGAAGCUGUACCACGUGCACUGCACUGGGACCACCUGACCAGCACGGUGACGUCGACGGAGACAUCGUGGCACCCGGAUAAAAGCAGCAGCCUUUUCGACAUUCCCUUCAGUGGACUUGGAAGCACCGAAUGAGCACGGAUGCUGAUCAAAUUUUUUCUGAUCGCACAGAGUUCAUCACUUGUGCAUGUGCAACACAUUGGCGGAGGCAAUACGAACUGCAUUUCUCACUAGCUGGACAAGUCGGAAUGGCAAUGCACCUUGGAGAACAAGACUCGAAUUGUGAAAGUCUGGUGGUUUCACAGAACUUUGUUUUAUGUCAAGAUGGGCUGACACCAUGUCACCUGAUGCUGUCACUCUCUGGUAAGCAUGUUAAAAAAAUAAAAACAAUCCAGUUUGAACA